CUCUCUCUCUCUCUCUGUGAAAUUAUUGAAUGAGAAAGUCUAAUAAAUGUUCCUACAAAAUAGAGCCUUACUUAUGCACGCAGUUGACUGACUAAAAGAUAACCACAGACACAUAACCCAUCUCCACCAUUUUUAUUUAUCAACAAAACAUACCUAGCCGAGUUCAGAGAUUUAAUUAUAUAUUGAGUUUUAGAAAAUAUACCGACGGUGAGACUUCAACGAUGUUCAUGGAUGGCGUUACUGGCUUCGUCACAGCGAGUAGCAGGGUGAUGUACGUUUGGCUGGAGUGAGUUUAUUUGCUUAACUUUGUGAACCUCCAGUUCAACUGGGCGUUCUCAUAAAUUAACCCAAAAAAAAGAUCUAUAUAUAUAGUGAUUCAAUAUUUAGUAGUAGUGUAUUUGCAAUGGCUUUAACGGGAAUGGAAAUUGCCUCAUCAUCUUUUCCAAGUUCUUCUAUUGAGCAAUGGAAGUAUGAUGUUUUUCUCAGCUUUAGAGGCGAGGAUACCCGAAACAAUUUUAUGGAUCAUCUAUUUAUUGCUUUGAAAGAGAAAGGCAUUAGCACUUUUAAAGAUGAUGAAAAACUUGAGAAAGGAAAAUCUCUCUCACUAAAGUUGUUGAAAGCAAUAGAAGAAUCAAGAUUGGCUAUUGUCAUUCUCUCAAAAGACUAUGCAUCUUCUACUUGGUGCUUAAAUGAACUUGCAAAUAUCAUUUCUUGCAAGAAAGAUAUUGAAAUGGCAGUUUUACCUGUUUUUCAUUAUGUUGAUCCAUCUGAUGUACGAAAACAAAUGGGAACUUUUGCACAGGCAUUUGUUAAACAUGAAGAAAAGGAGGAAAAAACAAAGGUGGAUAAAUGGAGAGAUGCUUUGAGACAAGUGGGCAACCUUUCUGGAUGGCAUUUAAAGGAUACUAGACCUGAGUCACUAGAUAUCCAAGAAAUUGUAGAAUGGAUAUCGCUCAACUUGAAAUAUGAUGCAUUCUCAUAUAUUACCAAAGACCUAGUAGGAAUAUACACUCGACUAGUGGAAUUGGAGUCAUGCUUAGCUCUAGGUUCAAAAGAUGUCCGCUUUAUAGGGAUUUGGGCAAUGGGAGGGAUGGGUAAGACAACUCUUGCUAGAGUUGUUUAUCAUAUGGUUUCUAAAGAAUUUGAAGCUCGUGGUUUUAUUGAGGAUGUUAGGGAAAAGUUUGAAAAAUAUGGUCUUGUUCCACUACAACAGAAAAUUAUUGAUGAAGUUUUGAAGGAAAAGAAUUUGAAAAUAGAAGAGGAGUAUGAUGGAGUUCUUAAGAUCAAGAAUAGAUUAUGUCAUAAAAGGAUUCUUCUUAUUCUUGAUGACGUAGAUAAGAUGAAACAGUUAAAAAUGUUAGCUGGGGAGCAUGAUUGGUUUGGUUCUGGCAAUAGAAUUAUCAUAACAACAAGAGAUGCGCAUUUGUUGGAGGCACAUCAGGUAGAUGAAAUAUAUGAAGUUCAAGGAUUGAAUGAUGAAAAUGCUCUCCAACUUUUUUCCUCGAAAGCUUUUAAAAAAAAAGCAUGUCUUUGAUGAUUAUAGAGAGCUGUCUAACCAAUUUUUGAAUUAUGCUGCUGGCCUUCCUUUAGCUCUUGAAGUUUUGGGUUUCUUUUUGUUUGGAAAAAGUACUGUUGAAUGGACAAUUGCAUUAGAGAGACUACAAGAAUUUCCAGACGAAGCAAUUCUUGAAGUACUUAAAAUAAGUUUUAAUGGACUCCAAAAACCACAGAAGGAAAUAUUCUUGCAUAUUGCAUGCUUUUUUAAUAAUCAGAAGAAAGAUUAUGUAUUAGAAAUACUAGAUAUUUUUGGCCUUUACCCUAUUAUUGGAUUGAAGGAACUCGCUAAUAAGUCUCUAUUGAAAAUUAUGGAUAAUGAUAUAGUGUGGAUGCAUGACUUACUUGAAGAAAUGGGUAGGAACAUAGUUCGUCAAGAGUGCCUUGAUGAUCCUGAGAAGCGUAGUAGAUUGUGGGAUUACGAGGACAUUGACAAAGUGUUAAAAAGAAAUAAGGGGACAGAAGCACUUAAAGCCAUGGAUAUUGUGAGUACUUAUAAUGAACAACAAGUUGUAUGUUGGAACCCUGAGGCCUUUUCAAAGAUGGCCAAUCUUAAAUAUCUUAGAAUUUAUGGCAUUCUCCAUGUCCCCAUACACCUUCCUAAUGAUUUAAGAAUUCUAGAUUGGAUUUUGUAUCCAUCAAAAUAUUUGCAGUCAAGUUUCCAGCUAGCUGAGCUUGUUAAACUUUGUUUGCAACAAAGCAAAAUGGAACAACUUUGGACAGGAAUAAAGAAUUUUGACAAGUUGAAGUUCAUUGACUUGAUUGACUCCUCGGACCUAAUUAUAACUCCAAACUUCACUGGAGUCCCUAAUCUUGAGAAAUUAGUUAUUGUAAGGUGCACAAAUUUACGUGAGAUUGACCCAUCUAUUGGAAUUCUUAAAAAACCUAUUCAUCUUAAUUUACAAGAUUGUGAAAGACUAAUUCGUCUUCCAAGAAAGUUUGGAAUGGAGCCCCUUGUGACUCUUGAAAUUUCUAAUUGCUCAAAAGUCAAGACAAUUCCAAAAUUUGUGGCAAACCCGAAAUUCUUACAGGAGCUUUCUUUGGAUCGCAUUGCUAUUGUGGAACUAAUUAAAAACUUGCCAGAGAACCUAUGGAUAAUCAAAGGCCUAGAGAUACUUGAUUUGAGCAAAGUAGAUAUAGAAGAGCUGCCUUCAUCAAUUGAAUGUUUGACUGGCCUUACUUCAUUGACUCUAAGAUAUUGCGAGAAUCUUGUGAGCCUUCCUAACACCAUUUGUAGUUUGAAGUUGCUUAAGUCUCUUGAUCUUUUUGGAUGCUUAAAAUUUUGUAACUUGCCAAAGAACAUAGGAAAUGUAAAAGGUUUGGAGCUGCUUAAUUUGUGUUGGACAGCCAUAGACGAGGUCCCUUCUUCCAUUGCCCUCCUUAAAAAUCUCAAACGUCUAUAUAUCUGUAGAUUGAUUUCAUCUGAAUAUUAUUCCCUACCAACAAGUCUUGAGCUGAUGGGCUUAGUAUUUCCUUCAUUAAUUUCAGCGAAUCAUGUGAAGCCCAUAAUACCACAUCAAACGAGCCCAGAAAGUGGUUUCUGGCAAUCUCCUCUAUUAUUUUUGCCUUCCUUAUCAGGUCUUCAAUCUUUAACAUAUUUGCAUCUUAGUGAUUGCGAUCUUCUGUCAAUCCCCAAUGACAUUGGCUGCUUGUCCUCUUUAGAACACUUAAAUUUAAGUGGAAAUUAUUUUAUUUCCCUUCCUGAAAGCAUGUCUCAACUCUCUAAUCUUCAAAGACUCCAUUUGGAGGGUUGCAAGUUGCUUCAGUCAUUGGAAAAUGUUCCAUCAACUAUUGAUUCAGUAAUUGCAAACAAUUGCCCCUUUCUGUUUAGAUUGCCAGAACUGCAAUUUUAUAUUUUUAGGUCAAAUCACUCCCAUUUGAAUUUCCAGUGUGUUGACUGCAUCAAAUUGUUUAGAUAUAUUGGAGGUAACAUGCUUCAGGAGCAAAGUGGUAUACUACCAGACAUCUUUGACAUUAUUAUUCCUGGCCAUGACUUUCCAAAAUGUUUUAAACAUGAAUCUAGAAGUCAUGAAUUGAAGGUACAAGUGCCUUAUGGGUGUGAUAAGCUAAUGGGAAUUGAGUUGUGCGUAUGUUUUUCAGUCGCAGAGGCUUCUAAAGAUUUUCUACUUAGAUGUUGGAUUAAAGUCAAUGGAUUUGAAAGCGCAUCACCAAUACGCGCUUCUUUUAAGGCAAACUAUGGUGGAGUUGAGUCACCUCACCAUUGGCGGCUCUAUUUGUCUCCUCGCUAUUUCCACUCCCAAUGGGGAGAAAAUUUUUGUCAAAUUGAUGGGAAUGGAUCCAAUAAAAUUGAGAUUAGAAUAAAUACUUCAAAUAACAUGGAGGUGGAGAAAGUUGGGAUUCAUUAUGAUAUUAAUAAUGAUUCAGCCUCCAAAGGUACCCAAACUAAUUGAAGCCAUGAUGAGGAUGAUGGGGCUGGGCCUUGUGGAGAAGGCUAUACAAAUGACGAACCACCUCCAAAGACAUGGAGGAUGUAAAAAUGAAUCAAGUAUAAGAGAAUUUUUUGACUUCUUUGCCUGUUGAAAUCAAAUUUUCCUGUUGUCUUGUUUGUGCACUUUAAUAUAAUGGAAGGAGGAGAUCAAACGUCCAAGAAUCUUGAAGCCCAUUGCGG